UGAGUGUGUGUGUGUGAGUGUGUGUCGCUCCAGUCCACGCUCAUGCACACACCCACA
rnacentral:pre_miRNA from 1 species